rnacentral:rRNA from 1 species
AGAUUGAACGCUAGCGGGAUGCUUUACACAUGCAAGUCGAACGGCAGCGCGGACUUCGGUCUGGCGGCGAGUGGCGAACGGGUGAGUAAUAUAUCGGAACGUGCCCAGUAGCGGGGGGAUAACUACGCGAAAGCGUGGCUAAUACCGCAUACGCCCUACGGGGGAAAGGGGGGGAUUCUUUCGAGAACCUCUCACUAUUGGAGCGGCCGAUAUCAGAUUAGCUAGUUGGUGAGGUAAAGGCUCACCAAGGCGACGAUCUGUAGCUGGUUUGAGAGGACGACCAGCCACACUGGGACUGAGACACGGCCCAGACUCCUACGGGAGCAGCAGUGGGAAUUUGGACAAUGGGGGAAACCCUGAUCCAGCCAUCCCGCGUGUGCGAUGAAGGCCUUCGGUUGUAAGCACUUUGCGAGGAAGAAGGCGACCGCCUAAGUACGGCG